rnacentral:lncRNA from 1 species
CGGAUGGUCCCUUGUUUAAAGCAUUGGGAGUUUUUACCUUCAUGCCCUUUGAAGUGCCUCUUGCACCUCUGGAGCUCUGGAGUUUUCUGCAUUUGUGUCCAGUUUUGGGCACCUCAAUACAAGAGAGAUCUCGAGGUGAUGGAGUGAGUGCAGAGGAGGGCAACGAAGCUGGUGAGGGGGCUGGAAAACAAAUCGUAUGAGGAGCGGCUGAGGGAGUUGGGACUGUUUAGUGUGAGGAAGAGGAGGCUGAGGGGAGACCUCAUCACUCUCUACAACUUCGUGAAAGGACACUGUAGAGAGGUUGGUGCUGGUCUCUUCUCACAGGUAAUUAGUGACAGAACGAGAGGGAACGGCUUCAAGCUCCAACAGGGUAGGUUUAGACUGAACAUUAGGAAAGAAUUUUUCACCGAAAGAGUGGUCGGGCAUUGGAACAGGCUGCCCAGGGAGGGGGUGGAGUCCCCAUCCCUGGAUGUGUUUAAGGGCCGUUUAGAUGCAGUGCUGAGGGACAUGGUGUAGGGGAGGACUUUGUAGAGUAGGGGAGAUGGUUGGACUCGAUGAUCCCAAGGGUCUCUUCCAACCUAGACAAUUCUAUGAUUCUAUGAUUUCCCUGCCGGCUGCCGUUCAGCGAUGGCUGGUGCCCAUAUCUCCCUCGCCUGCCAGCACCUGGCAUCUCCUGGGCCUGCAAACUCAGCCAGAGAGCAACAACAACAACAACAACAACAAAACAAACAAACGAGAGAGAACCUGCUUUUCCAGAAACAUCUCUUUUUAUUAAAUCACGUCUUAAAACCUAGAAACAUUCAUGUAUUUGAAACCUGGUUAUCGUACACGAAGCAGCAGAUAGUCUCAGAGAAAAGGUGUCAACGUAGGCAGCAGAGAUGGCAGAUGGCACGGCCAGGUUUGCCCCAGGCCUGGGCAGCCAGAAACCGCCUCGAAAACCAGGGGGAGUGCUUUGGAGUAACUUUCUUUGACUUCCAAGGAGCCAACCUGCUGGUCCAGGGCCCACCGAGACCUCGGAGUUUACAAUCUUUGUUCUCAAAAGUCUCCGUUAAGACAGUUUGGGUCUCAAACCAGCACGUUCUGGGGUUGAGCUCUCUGGGGGCCAACGCGACAAGCUCCAUAUGUGCCUGCUGUGCCCUCAGCCCCCCACGGCUCCGGGGCACGGCGCAGGCAGGUACGAGCAGCGGUGCUGGCCGCGGCCGUCGCCCCGCGCUCCCCUCGGAUUCCAAAAGGAGCAGGACAUCGCUCCCCUCGGAUUCCAAAAGGAGCAGGACGCGGCCGGCUCCCUCCCAACUCAGCAGAGGGUACAGGCAGAGUCAGAGCACAGGGUGCCCCGUCUCCACACGGUUUGUCAAAUGGCCAACUACUAUUCAAACUUGGGUGGUUUGGGGUUCCCCCCCCCCCCGUUAUUUUGACAAUGAGGCUUUUUUCUUUCUUUUUCUCAUUUGGAUGAACGUUACCUGCUCAGUUAUCUGA